GAUGAACGCUGGCGGCGUGCCUAAUACAUGCAAGUCGAGCGAACGGACGAGAAGCUUGCUUCUCUGAUGUUAGCGGCGGACGGGUGAGUAACACGUGGAUAACCUACCUAUAAGACUGGGAUAACUUCGGGAAACCGUAGCUAAUACCGGAUAAUAUUUUGAACCGCAUGGUUCAAAAGUGAAAGACGGUCUUGCUGUCACUUAUAGAUGGAUCCGCGCUGCAUUAGCUAGUUGGUAAGGUAACGGCUUACCAAGGCAACGAUGCAUAGCCGACCUGAGAGGGUGAUCGGCCACCCUGGAACUGAGACACGGUCCAGACUCCUACGGGAGGCAGCAGCAGGGAAUCUUCCGCAAUGGGCGAAAGCCUGACGGAGCAACGCCGCGUGAGUGAUGAAGGUCUUCGGAUCGUAAAACUCUGUUAUUAGGGAAGAACAUAUGUGUAAGUAACUGUGCACAUCUUGACGGUACCUAAUCAGAAAGCCACGGCUAACUACGUG
rnacentral:rRNA from 1 species